AUUGAACGCUGGCGGCAGGCCUAACACAUGCAAGUCGAGCGGAUGAAGGGAGCUUGCUCCUGGAUUCAGCGGCGGACGGGUGAGUAAUGCCUAGGAAUCUGCCUGGUAGUGGGGGAUAACGUCCGGAAACGGGCGCUAAUACCGCAUACGUCCUGAGGGAGAAAGUGGGGGAUCUUCGGACCUCACGCUAUCAGAUGAGCCUAGGUCGGAUUAGCUAGUUGGUGGGGUAAAGGCCUACCAAGGCGACGAUCCGUAACUGGUCUGAGAGGAUGAUCAGUCACACUGGAACUGAGACACGGUCCAGACUCCUACGGGAGGCAGCAGUGGGGAAUAUUGGACAAUGGGCGAAAGCCUGAUCCAGCAACGCCGCGUGUGUGAAGAAGGUCUUCGGAUUGUAAAGCACUUUAAGUUGGGAGGAAGAGCAGUAAGUUAAUACCUUGCUGUUUUGACGUUACCAACAGAAUAAGCACCGGCUAACUUCGUG
rnacentral:rRNA from 1 species